rnacentral:lncRNA from 1 species
AACCAUUAGUUCUUCUUCCUUCAGCCCUAGGUGAUAAACUCGGUACCAUGGAUGCUCCAUAUGCUUGCUUUUAUCAGCUUUCAAAAGUAAGACUCUGUAGCUUCUUUCGUUUAUAUUUUUGAAUUGAUUUUUCAGCUGAUUUUUAUUUGAUUUGCUUCUCAAUACCUAUGCUCCCCGGUGGAAUCAAAAUCAACUUUUUGUGCUUCCUUAAAGAAUCUUGUCCACUGAAUAUUGUUAUCAAUUUCGAGUAAUAAUCUUUCCCUUAUUUUUUUCUUUUCUGUACUUCGUCAGUGCUCUAAUGCUUUCAAAAUGACAAAUACGGCUAGUAUGAAGAUAGUGGGAUGCUUCGAACCACAAGUAUUUAGAAAGUAACACAUAUCUCAGGUUUAUCAACUCUGAUCUGACCCUAAGAUCCUUCUCUUUUGCUGCAAGUCCAUUUUAUUGGUUGCUAUAGUUUAGGCUAGUUAGCUUUACACCUUUUUUGUAGCCUUGCAUGGCUUGUAAAUAUUUGCUUAUGGAACUUGCAAGCUUUAGCCUUAUCAGCUCUCACCUUCUCUAUGGCGACACUCUUAAAAAUAAAACUUGUAAUUUGUCACUGUUAAGUAUUUUAUUUCUAGUAACUUUUAGCUGCUGAAAGCACGUAAAUGUGAAAUUCCCUUCAUCUAUUGCAUAAUUAGCUAAUAGUCUGCUAGCUUAUUCCUCUCCCUUAGAAUGUGUUGGCAUAGUCUUUCAUCGGUGUCUAUAUUUUCUCUAUUAUGUCUGAUAUACUCCAUGAAUAGUUUAAAUUCUUGUUUAAAAUCUUCUGCUUGGUUAAUGAGUCUGUCUGAAUAAUCACAUUGCUAUGUUGUGACUAAUUCCAAUGUACUGCUGCCUAUAAAAUAGCUUCUGCUUCUGCUUCUAUAUUUAUGGUAUCAUCAAUAUUAUCUCCCUUAGCAUAUAAUAAAUCCCCUUGAUCAUCCCUCAAACAAAAUGCAUAGGAACUUAUCACUGAAUUACCCCUAGAUGCUCCAUUUGUAUUGUAAUUUAACCAUCCUUGCUGAGGAAAUUCCCACAUAAAUUUAGAAACCUUCCCUCUGGCUCUAUGAUUUUCAAAUUCUCUCAAAAUGUCUGGCCAUGUAUAUGGAAAAUCCUUAUAGGAUCUUAUCACUUUAAGCAAUAUUCUUAGAUUUCUGAUUAUGUUGUGUUGUACUCUAUGCUUUGCAACAUUCUUUCCCUCAUGUUUUGUAGUAUUUCUCCUUUUUCACAAUUCCCAAAUAAUCAUGCUAGGAAUGUCCCGAUAAUAACGUCUAUCCUUUAGACUGACAUUUGAAUUCCACCAAGCCAGAGUUGUUUCCCUAAAGCUCAAUCCAUAAAUGUUAAUACCUGCAAAAGAAGAGAAGUAGGACCAGGUCCUAUUAGCAAUAGGUGAUCUUAGAAACACAAGUGAUAUGAUUUCCUAAUCAGGAUUAAUACAACACCAACACAUAGAUGAUCCUUUCACACCCCAUCUUCUUAUAAAAUCAUCCACUAGAACUUUUCUUUUCCAUAUCUUCCAUAUUAAGAAAGCCAUUUUGAAAGGCAAACCUUUUAUCCACAUCUUCUUGAAAAUUUUGCUACUUUCUUCCUUCUACCUAAUAUAUUGCCAUGCUGAUUUUACAGUAAGCAUUCCACUAGAUUCAAGAAUCCAAUGGGUCUGUCUUCUUCAUCUGCAUGUCUAGGUGACUUUAUUUUUUCUAGACUAUGUAUAUCAAUUUCUUCUGAAAAUAUCUCCUUGAUCAACUCUACAGUCCAACUUCCUUCUCUGACCAAAUCACUAACUUGUUGAUACCUAUCAUCCCAAUCCCUACACUCCUCACUGAUACUAUAUAGUUCCCUCAAGGUUGUCCAAUUAUCACACCAGAUGUUAGAAUUACCCUUCCUAGUUUGCCAUAGAAUUUGGUGUUCAAUUAGAUACCUAGCCUGCAACAUUAUCUUCCAAACUUGUGAUCCUCCUGCACCAUUCUUCCAUAUAAUCAUAUUAGGGUGCUCAUUUUUACAAUAUUUUUUAUGCAUGUAUGCACUCCAAAUAGACUUUUUGGUUCAAAAAUUCCACCACAACUUACAAAAAAGAGCCAUAGACAUAUCCUUCAAUAGUCUAAAUCCCAAACCCCUCCCCCUCCUCAGGCAAGUAUAUAGAAUAUCAUCUUACCUAAUGUCUACCCUUACACCCUAUAUAACUACUCCAAAAAGAUUGAGCCAUUAUUUUCUGAAUUGUAUUAAGAACAUUCAUAGAGGGGUUCAUUACUGAUAGACAAUAGAUUGGUAUACUUUGAAGAACAUGCUUGAUAAGAAUGGCCCUACCUUCAUAAGACAACAAUUUCCCUUUUCAGCUUUGCAGUUUUCCACUAAUUCUGUUCAUGAUAUACUAAUAGUAGUCUUUUUUUUCCUCAUAUGAAAAAUGAUACAUCCUAGGUAUGUAAAAGGAAAAUUUUUUCUUAAAAUACCUGUUGUUAUUUCUUCCAUCACUACACUCUUUGUGAUACUACUUUAUGCAAAUAUAUUGCACUUUUCUCCUUAUUAAUCCUCUUCCAUGAUGCCUUUUCAUACUUUUCUAGAGAUUCUAAUACUGUCUUUAAAGUACUCAAAUCAUCCUUGUACACAUUUAUCAUGUCAUAUGCAAAGGCAAGAUGAUUAAUUCUUGGACUCCCCCUAGGCAUUCCAAACAUUUUAAACUCAUCCUUCAAUAGCAAAAAUGUUAAAGACCUUGACAUCACCUCAGCAGCAAGUAUAAAUAAUAUAGGAGAUAAAGGAUAUCCCUAUUUCAAUCCUUUUGAUGAUCUAAAAAAUCCUUUAGGUUGACCAUUAGAAAGAUUAAGUACCAAUUAUUACUCACUAACCUCUAUACCAAGUCUAUAAUAACUUCUCCAAAUCCCAUUUUUCUCAUCACCUUUGUUAAAUAAAGCCACUCCACCUAUCAUAAGCCUUCAUCAUUGAAUUUCAUAACCAUGUUUGGGGGUUUACCUCUUUUUCCUAUCUCAGAUAUAAUUUCUUGAACCGCCAGUAUAUUUUCUGUUAUGUUUCUCCCUUGAAUAAAACUUGUCUGUUCCUCUGAUAUAAUCUAUGGUAGAAGACUCUUGAUUCUCUCAUGAAUAAUUCUUGAGAAGAUCUUAUUAAUAAAUUACUUAAUGAUAUUGGCCUUAAAUCUGAGAAAGUAUUAACUACUAACUUUUUAGGCUACAUCACUAAGUUAGUAUGAGUAAUAAAUCUUGGCAAUUCAUAACCACAAAAAAACAACUAUCAUAUUAUAUACAUCCUCUCUAAUAAUGUCUCAUGGAUCCUGGCAAAAGGCUCUUGUCAUUCCAUAUGGCCCUCCAGCAUUGUUCCUGUUUAACCUCAUAACUACUGAUUUACCUCUUGCUUGUUGGGAACUUUAAUCAAUUCUUCAUUCUGCUGUGAAGUAACCAUUACUGGUAACUCAUCUAAAACUGAAAACUCCUCAAAAUCCUAAUCUUUUGAGAACUGGCACCUUUUGUUAUAUUAAUCCGAUCUUUCAUCUAAAUUUCCUCAUCAUUUUAAAUUUUAUUCACCUUCAAUUUGUUUCUCCUUCCUCUAACAAUAGUUUCAAAGAAUUUUGUGUUUUUUCACCAUUCUUAAAUUAUUUAAAUCCAGCUUUUUGCUUUUAGAAGUCUUCUUCUCUUCUUAACUGAAUACCUAAAUUUGCCCGAGCAUUAAACAAUUUUGCUCUAUUUGUCCCUGAAUGGUCCUACUCAAAUUGUACCUCCAUUACCUUAAUGAUGUCCUCCAAUGUUGCAAUCUUUUGAAAAAUAUUACCAGACUUUUCUUUACUCCAUUGAGUUAAGGCAUAUUUGGUCUUUUUCAACAUUUGAUGGAACAUAAUGAAUGAAUUUCCUUGAACCUCUAUUGUCCAAUUUUGCUUUAUAGUCUCCAAACAUGAUUUUUCCUUCAACCAGAAAUAUAGAAAUCUAAAAGAUUUGAUGAUUUUCUCAUUAGAAAUACUAAAAUACAACAGCAAAGGAGCAUGAUCUGACCCACUUCUUAUUAAAUGUUCAAGUUCUAAUAUUGGAAAUAGAUUUUGCAUCAUGACAUUCCACAAUACUUUGUCCGGCCUUUUAAAUAUAAAGUCUUCAUCAACUCUUCCAUUCCACCAUGUUUACUUUCUUUGAAUCCUGGAUCCUAUAGAUUGCACAAACUAAUGCAAUGGUUGAAAUUAUCAGUUUCUACAAUAAUAAUAGGUAAACCCCUUAAUUUCUCUUCAUCACAGGUGAUCACAUUGAAAUCACCCCCAAUAAUCCAUAGAUCAUGCAUAGAUUGAGCUAUAUCAGUUAAAGAUUUCCACAAAAUCAAUCUUUCUUGUUGAUUACACUUAGCAUAUACUAAAGUUACCACCACUGAUUGUGCAACUUUAAUGUCAUCUCUUGCACUUCAUCCCUAAUGACUAUGUAAUCAACAAUAGCAUCACAAAAGGCCCAAAUUUUUCUAGAUGAAUUUUCCACUGCAUGUUGCAUUCCUAAUCUUGCUCUGUAAUCCUCUAUGUUAUGACUGUCUUGAAAAGGUUUCAUAAUACCUAUAAAAUAAAAAUGAUAUCUUCUUUGUAAAGUGAUUAAUCUAAUGAAUGUUUUUUGAGUGUUCACGACCUUAUAUUUCAGAUCAAAGCAUUCAUCCUAAUUUAUGCUUUGAAUGACUCCUUGUCUGCAUUGUAGUAGCACUUAUAUUCUUGCCCUUUUUAUACCUUCUCCAUUACAUAUUAGUUGAUCAAUUUCACUUUUGCACAUCCUAAAGAAAUUAUAAAUAAAAAGAAUAUUUUGUUAAUUUACCCCUUAUAAUACUUUCCUGAAACUUUAAAAACUUAUUUUUAUUUUUUUAAAGAUUAUUAAUUAUAGAAAUAAAAUGAAAGAUUUUACUUAAUUUUAUCUUAGCUUAGUAAGAAGAAAAAUAAUUUAGGAUAUUUACUUUUAAUAAGGUGAUCAACUUAUAUGAAAGGAGGGAUCACUCAUUUUAUGGAGGUCUUUUUUGUUUUUUGUGAUUUUCACAUCUUUUUAACCUUUUGAUUUCUCAUUUGAAACAAAAUAUAUAUAAGUGCGACACAAAAAAUCAUUUUUCUUAGAAGAUUGAUCAAUCACAAAUUUGGUUUUAAGAAAACUAAAUAGUUAAAAUAUUACCUCAAACAUAAUCAAAUCACUUACACAUUGUUUAGAUGGUGGUUUUUUAUGGUUUCAUAAUGUACGAUUAUUGUAUAGUAUAGUACAAUACAAUGCUUGAAUGGACUGUAUCAUUCACUGCUGUUUAAUAAUAAUUUUAUUAUUUGAUUUAAUGAUAUGGUACUGUAUCAUAGCCCUAAAUUAUUAUAAAUGUUAAAUUUAUUAAUAAUUGUUAAUAAAAUAAUUUUUUCUGCUAAUCUGUCAUAAAUUAUGUCAUGUAAAUAUAUUAAGUUGUUAAAUUCAUGUAAAUUUUAACAAAAUUAAUACAAGAGUUGAUCAAAAUGAAUGUAAUCGAAUUUAUUUUUUAUAGAAACAAAUUCUAUUUCCUUUUAAUGUUUGAAAUUGACCACCAACGAAAAGUAAAAAAAUUAGGGUGGGGGUUUGGUAAGGGGUGGGGUCAGGGUCAGGGUCAAGGUCAGGAUAGGGGGUGUGAUAAGAAAAAAGUUUUUAUAAAAAAUUUAAAAAAUAAAUAAUAUCUUUUUUGGACGGGGUGGGGUGGGAUGGGGUAGAGGGUUGGGGGUGGAGAGAAGGGGAAGGGGAGGGGUGGCUCAUGGGGUGAGAGGAGGGGUAGAAGUUCGAGUUUAAUAAUAUAUGGUAAAGGAUAAAAUAGGAUUAUAUAAUAUUAAAUAAGGAUAUAAUUGGAAAAAAAAUAAGCAAACCAUGAUAUACCACCAAAUCAGUGGUUCAAUAAAGUGAGUGUUUUCAUGGUUAUCAAACCAUGAAAUUAAACCAUAACAUAUCAUACAUUUUAAGAAAUAAUCAAAACAAACAUGGUUCCCUAAGUAACAAUAACAUACUAUACCAUAGAAAACCACCAUCCAAACCGUGUGUUAAUAUAUUUGGAUAACAAAAGCUUAAGAGGGUGUUUGGAUGAGCCUUUUUUGAGUGACUUAAAAGCUAAAAGUCAAAAGUCAAAAGUACAUAACAACCUACUUUUAAUUUUUUACAUAUUUUUUUUACUUUUUAAGUUUAAGUGCUCAAAAGUAUUUUUUUUUUUGUCUUUGUCAAACACUUUUAAAAAUAAAAAAAAUACUUAUAAAUUAAAAAUACUUAAAAAUAAUUUAAUCCAAACACCCUCUAAAUCUAAAACAGAUAUAUUGAAUUAUUAUUUUUUAUGCAAGUAGCAAACAUGAAUAAGUUUUUUUUAUCUUUUUUUGUCAACUAAAGAAUACGAUAUGAGAUGAAAUAAUCAUGAUACGAAACUUGGAAUACCAAUAUUUAUUUAUAUUCAUAAGAAUCUUGCAUUGGAUAAUUCGUUAAUUACUUUUCAUCUUUUUAUGGGGGUAAAACUGGAAUGUAUUAAGUAAGUAAAUUAGGAGUAAUUUAUAAAGCCUUAGUCUGGCUCAAAAAUAUGCAAAUUCAGACUACUAGCCCCCACNNNNNNNNNNNNNNNUGAUCUACUGUGAGAUCUCCCAGAAUAAUUUUUCCAAAAACUACUCCAAUACUAGCUGGUGGAGUAACAAAAACAUGGAGUUUGUCAAAACAAUUUAGUUGGGAUCCCCUCUUAGCCAUCAAGUCAGCCAUUCUAUUCCGUUCCCUGUAUGUAUGAUGGACUGGUGGUCUCCCAAGCUCCUUAGUAGUAACCUCCAUUCAAAUAUAGUUGGAUCAUAAAGUAAGUUACCAUGAUAAAGCAUGUUGAUAACUUUCUUAGAGUCAAUGCAUAUUUCAAGGGGUUGGAGGUUGUGCUCCAGGGCCAGUUUUAGGCAUUCCUUCAAGGCCAACAGUUCCAUGAGGUUAUUGGUAGCAUGGAUGAAGCUUCUGCUAAAACCAAUAACCCAAUCCCCCUACCUUUCCUAAUUACACCAGCAAUUCCACCUCUAUUGGGAUUACUAACAGUUUCCAAACGCAUAUGCAAGUAUACGUGGUCUUAUCAAGUAGUAAAGUAGCCUUCAAGAAUCCAAGCAUCGAUCCCACAGAGACUUGAUUUAACAACGAUUCUAUUUUAGUUCACAAUUUAGAUUCAAUUGAUGCAAGCGUAACCAAAAAGAGAGUUUGGAAUUUGUAAAUUGUAGAAAAGUAAACAAUGCGGAAAUUAAAGAUCUUAAAACAAUCAAUAGGAGAAAACCCAAGGUUAAAGCACUUUAAACAAUCAUACUAUGUAUUGAAUUUCAUUCGUUAACUUGUUUAUCUUGGUUGUUGAUUCAUAGGGUUAGUCGCAUGAUUAUGAUUUCUCAACCUCUAAUUCUUUACCUAAGUUGAACCUUACAACUACAUCGUUGAGCAGGGAUGUAAUGGUCUACUUAAGUUCUUUAAAGCUAUCAUCCUAUGUGUGAAUCAAGUAAGCCAUCUAAGUACAUCCUUGUCCUAGGUUAUAAGUUCAAUUUUUUUUUCAUAAAAUAAUAAAAACUCAAACUUUAUUUAUUCCCAUGUUCUAUCUUCCUAUUCCCUCUCCCGAGUUCACAAGGUUGACAAUAGAUUUAUUCUAAGGGACGCAAAUCCUUAAAAUAUUUAUAACAAGAAUAAACAAAAAAAAUAAUAAUAAAAUCAAACAAACUUAAUUCAAAACAAGAGUACUCAUGUUCUUGGCUUUAAUCCCGGAUAAGGGCGUUUAGCCACGCAUAGUCAUAAUCAUAAUCACAAUAGUGUAAUUAACGAUUAAAAUAUGAAUAAACUAAAUUAAAAUAAUAAAAAACUAAAAAAGAAGUUUUAGCAGCCCAUUGAUAUCCAAAAUACAUCCAAAUAUAUAUAAAAAUGUGAUACAACAUGUAUUUAUAGUAUAGGAGUAAGCCAAGGCGGUGUUGGAAUUGAAUUGCAGCACUUUGUGAGCACGGGAAUGGGUGGGGUGUCACCCUGGCUAUAGCCCCACUCAAGGUGGGUCUGAGCCCUUACUAGAGCGCCGAUCCAUUCAAGGUUGUUCCCUGCCCAUAUCCCUACUCCAGGUGGGGUGGUGCCUUCAUAUCGCCCUGAGCCUCUGGAAGUUGCUCUCCGAAUUUUGGUUAAGUGUUGAGUCUCCCCUCUUAGUCCCUUGUCUUGUGGUGUCUUUCAAAUAGAUUUACAGCCUUAUUAACAUCAAAAUAUCAUCAUAUUCAGCUCCCAAAGCAUCCUACAAACUCACACCACACGAAUUAGGAGACAAACACAACACACUACUCAUAAUGAUGAAUCAAAACAAGAGCUAAGCUAGGCUAGUUCGCAUUGAUCUUUCACUUAUUGUUCCAGCUGUACACUCAAUAAAAUUGAACUUUGAUCACCCCCAAAAAUUUAUUACACUCAUAAUUAUGCAUUAAAAUCAUUUGGAACACAUUAAACACAAUAGAAUCCAACUGAAUCAACUAGACAAGCACCUAGCUCAAGCUAGUAAUGCUAGUUUUCCGAGUUGAACUUCUAAAUGAAUCUUUUAGGUUCAAAAUUGUUUGGACUUCACUUUGAAAAUUGUAAACACAUGAUUUAACACUGUUAUACACAUUUAUAUCAUUAUCAACCCAUAUAUUACACGAAUCAUCCUCAAAACAAGGCUAAAAAGGCUAGAAUAGUGAUGCUAGAAUACAGAAAUACACCCAACAUCACCACCCCAUGCUUAAAGACUUGUUCAUCCUCGAAUAAAUCUUCACUAUAAACAUUAUGAGAUGCAGACUCUACACUUCCAAUACAUGCAAGACACUCAAGAUAGUACUAGAAUCACUACACAGAAUGCAAGUUUCUAUACUAAGAAUAUUACAAACACGAUUGAAAGCUUAUGAACACUACUCCAAAACAUCCUAACCUCAAUAAUUGACUCACCUAAUUGGAAAACUCAUGCUUAUCGUUCAAUCAAGGACAUCAUACAAAUCACUCACAUUCAUCAAAUAUAUGACCCUCACAAUAAAAGAGUUACCCAUAAUCACUCACAAUUAUGUAAUUCAUACAUGGGUACAUAAAUCAAAUUACACUCACUCUCACAAGGAAUUCAUAAGUUACACAUAGUGAACCAUAGGUUUUACCUUAGUGUAGUGCUCCACUAAUAUUAGAGUAUCAAGUAUAGGAUCAAAUUGGUCUUUUUCGGGCUAUAAUAUAGGAUAAGGGGCGGGUAGAAACUAUUUAGGAGUAGUGACUAACCUCUCUAAUUGCUUUAAUACACUACAUUGUACAUUUAAAACCAAUCUCCAACAACCAAAUUACACUAUUUUUGUCUACCCCAUUUUUUUUAUUUUGCUCCAUCUCUUUUAAGUAUUUUCACAAACACUUGAUGGGCGUAUUGUUUAUUCCUUCAAGAUUCAAUUUUUCCUAUUUUCUACAAUCAUGGAAAUAUUUAUAACACCAUUUAUAUCACUGCCAACCACCACACAUCAAAUAUAAAAACCAGUAACUAUUACCUUGGGGCAUCAAUUUCACCUUUUUCUUCUUCAAUUUAUCAGACUCUUUACCAAAUUAAUUUUUCAUUAAACCACUUAGGAGCUUUUUGGAUCAAAUUAUGAUAUGUUAAAGAAGGUAUUAGGCUAUAUAUGAGGCUACUAAAGAAGAAGAUAAAGGCUCAAUGGGGAUUAACUAGGAUAAUGCACAAAGGGUAGGACAAAUAGAAGGCAUAAAUCAAGGCUAUCAAAGAAAUGCCUAAAUUAUCUCCUAAACCCACACUCUCUAUUUUUCUUUACACACACACCGGGCAAGUUCUAAACAUCACAUGCAACAAAGAAUAUACAAAAAUCUCACACGCACAUGGUACAUGUUCAACUCAAUAAGAUCAUCAUAAACUGUCAACCAAAUAAUAGCACAAAUUCAAAUUUAAGCUAAAAAGUACAAGAGUCACAAAAAUGAGUCUAAGAGUCUCAAAAGUAGCAAUUCACUUAUUUCGCUUGCUUUUACCAAACAAAACACUUGCACCAUGUAAUCAAAAAUAGCACCUACAAGAAUAUCUUACACAAAAAAAAUUAAAUUGAGCCAAAAUUUAGGAAUUUUCCCACCCCACACUUAAAAAUCUAUUUUGUCCCUAAAGUGAAUUUAAAAGUAAGAGAUAUAAAUACUCUCUGAGAUAUCUAGUAGCGUCUUUUGCAUUAAUGGGAUCUGCAGGACCCCACACUCUAUAUUUUUUAUGCUCCUUAGUUUAAGUUUAUGGUACUCAGACUUAUCAUUAACCUAUAAUUCAACCAAAAAACAAUAACUAUGUGAAAUAAAAAUAAAAACUAAAAAGAAAACAUACCUACUUAACUUGGGUUGCCUCUCAAGCAGAGCCUGAUUUAGUAUCGCGGCACGAUCCGGCUCACUCAACCAUAUUCCUUUACCCUUUUACUCACACUUGUUCUCCAUUUUCUUAUUCUCUUUACCCCUCUUGGGUGUGAAUUUUCAAGAGCACCAGGUUUUUCAACUUUAGCCUUUUCAGGAUCAUUAAUUUCCAUCAAAUCAGGCUUAGGAGAUAGAAGCUUAGGCAGCUCAAUCAGGUAGUCCAAAGAGGUCUUUGGUGGAUUAACCACCCCACACUUGUCCCCUUUAAUAACAUUGAUCAUACAUAAAUCUUUAUAGUGGGAUGUUAUAUUGGGUGCUUUGUAAAAGUCAAAUACCACUUCUUAUUCCUCUAUCCUUAUUUUGAGUGUGACUUCUCUAAUAUCAAUCAACGCUCUUCUGGUUGCUAAGAAUGGAUGCCCAAAUAUGAUUAAUACCUGUUCGCGUGCCUUAAAAUCAAGAAUAAUAAAGUUAGCAGUAAUAAUAAAUUUAGGCUCCUUUAUGAAGAUAUCCCCAAUUACUCCUUCCAAAUAUGCCAUGGAUCCAUCUGUGAGCUACAAAACCACAGUGAUCAAUCUAGGCUUUCCCAAGCCUAAUGUUUCAAAUAGAAAUAGGGGUAUCAAAUUUAUGCUCGCCUCUAAGUCACUCAAUGCAUGGACUACUUUACUCCCAGUUUGGAUAGGGAGAGUAAACUUUCCUGAAUCUCUCAAUUUCUUAGGGAUUUUUGUGUCAUUACAAUGUUACACUCUUCAGUGAGUGUUAUCGCUUCCACAUCCUGGAAUUUCACCUUAUUACAAACCACAUCCCUCAAGUACUUAGCGUACUUGUGCAUACCCUACAAAAUAUCUAACAAAGGUAAGUUACUAUAAAGCCCUCUGAACUUGUCAAAGAACUUCUUAAGAAUUACAUCCUCCUUCGCUUUCAUGUGCUUUUGAGGAAAGGGUAAUGGCGGCACUUGCUUCUUUUCUAGUUCAGUAACAACUGUCUCUUUCAAGUACUUAGACUUUCUUGACUUAUCAGCAGCUUUUUUAGAAACUUAUUGGGGAGUCAAAUCUAUAUCUACCUCAUUUAUUGCCUUGGGAGGUUCUUCUUAAAGCUCUUUACCAUUUCUCAAGGUAAUUGUCAUAACCUGUUUUGGAUUUUCUGUAUCUGCUGGCAAACCACCUUGUGUCCUAGUAUUUAAUACUUGUUGUAUCUGCCCAACUUGAAUCUCUAAGCUUCUCUGAGCAACUUGUGAAUUUUUCAUGUCUACAACCAAUUAUGUCUGGCUAGCUAGGAGCUGCUUCAACAUCUCUUCCAUGUUACUAGUUGACUAAUUCCCUUGUGCCUGUAGUUACUAAAUUUGUUGUGGUUGUGCAUUCCAAGACUGAUUUUUCCACUUUAUGUUGUAGGCAUUACCAUAAUUUGUCCUUUGAGUAUUACCUACAUACAUCACUGAUUCUGGAUUGGCAGCAUAUAUACCUGCUAAGUGACCACUAUUACCGUACACUUCACACCAACCUGCAGCUUGUUGGAUGGUAUUGACUAUGGCUGCAGGUUGUAGAGCUCCCAAUUUUAGGCUGUUGAACUGAGUGUUUAUCAUAUUUUGCAAUGCUACAACCUAAGUUGAUAAGGCAGCAAACUGAUCUACCUCCAAUACACCCGCAAUUCUUUUUGUGGAACUUCUCAAAUCUGAAUGUCAUUCAGGAUUUACUUGUGAUAUAUGAUUCAACAAUAUGUAUAGCUCAUCAUAAGUCAACUCUAGCAUUUGACCACUUACGGCUAAAUCUAGCAAAAUCUUUGUAUUCUGAUCAAGUGCUUCUAAAAAGUAUGAGAAAUUACCUUAUUGGAUUGUUAGUAAUGCGGACAAUCCUAAAAAAGAGCCUUGAAGCAUUCCCAAGCAUGAUAUAGAUUUUUGUCAGGAUUCUAUUUGAAGCUCACUAUCUCACUGCGAAGUCUUGCAGUCUUGCCUAAUGGAAAGAAUUUGAAAAGGAACUUUCUGGCUAAAUCUUCCCAUGAUGUAAUUGAAUUGGUUGGAUCCGCAUUCAACCACCUUUUAGCUUCCCCCAACAGUGAAUGGGAAAAAGUGUCAGACUUAUAGAAUUUGUACUCACCCUAGUUGGAAUGAAUAUGUCGGUAAGCUCAAUGAAAGUCUUCAAGUAAACUUGUGAAUCCUCGUGUGAAAGCCCUGAAAAUUGUCCACUACUAAUGAGAAGCCAUACAAUAUUGUGCUUUAACUCGAAAUUCCCCCCAACAGUCAGUCUUUGAAUUGGGGAAGUCAAGUUCAUCGGAAGUGGGACUACCACUUCCCAAACUGUCCUGUAGGUUGCUUGUUCUUUAUCCAUUGGAGCAGGAACUACUUGGUCUUCUUCUAUUUAUGGAAAUUAAAGAAGAUGGAUUGUGUCUCUUCUUCAUUGAUGGAAGUGUUGUUCAGGUUUGGGGCUUGGUUCAACCAAAUCCCUAUCCCUUGCCAGUUUUCUAACCUUAAAAUCUAUUUUCUGCAAUCACAAAACCAAGACGAAGUGUAAAAACACCAAAUAAAUCUAAAAGUAAAAACUAAAUAAACAAUUUCCAAAUAACAAGUCCCCGAUAACGACUCUAAAAAUUUGACAGUGCUCAAGCACACACGCAAGUGUAUGUGGUGUUAUCAAGUAAUAAAGUGGCCUUCAAGAAGCCAAGUAUCAAUCCCACAGAGACUUGAUUUAACAAUGAUUCUAUUUUAGUUCACAGUUUAGAUUCAAUUGAUGCAAGUGUAACCAAAAAGAGAGUUUGGAAUUUGAAUUGUAGAAGAGUAAACAAUGUGAAAAUUAAAGAUCUUAAAAUAAUCAAUAGGAGAAAACCCAUGGUUAAAGCAAUUUAAACAACUAUACUAUGUAUUGAAUUUCAUUCGUUAACUUAUUUAUCUUAGUUGUUGAUUCGUAGGGUUAGUUGCAUGAUUAUGGUUUCCCAACCUCUAAUCCUUUACCUAAGUUGAACCUUACAACUACAUUAUUGAGCGGAGAUGUAAUCGUCCACUUAAGUUCUUUAAAGCUAUCAUCCUACGUGUGAAUCAAGUAAGUCAUCUAAGUACAUCCCUGUCCUAGGUGCUAAGUUCAAUUUUUUAUUUCAUAAAAGAAUAAAAAUCCAAACUUUGUUUAUUCUCGUGUUCUAUCUUCCUAUUCCCUCUCUCGAGUUCACAAAGGUUAACAAUAGAUUUAUUCUAAGGGUCGCAAAUCCUUAAAAUAUUUAUAACAAGAAUAAACAAAAAAAUAAUAAUAAAAUCAAACAAACUUAAUUCAAAACAAGAGUACUCAUGUUCUUGGCUUUAAUCCCAGAAAAGGGCGUUUAGCCACAAUAGUCAUAAUCAUAAUCACAAGAGUGUAAUUAACGAUUAAAAACAUGAAUAAACUAAAUUAAAAUAAUAAAAACCCAAAUAAGAAGUUGUAACAUCCCAUCAAUCUCCAAAUUAUGUCCAAAGAUAUGUAAAAACAUGAUACAACAUGUAUUUAUAGUAUAGGAGUAAGCCAAGUCCGUGUUGGAAUUGAAUUGCAGCACUUUGUGAGCACGGGAAUGGAUGGGGCGUCCUCCUGGCUAUAUCCCCGCUCUAGGUGAGACUGAUCCCUAACUAGAGCACCGAUCCAUUCAAGGUUGAACCCUGCCCAUAUCCCUGCUCCAGGUGGGGCAGCGCCUCCAUAUCGCCCUGAGCCUCUAGAAGUUGCUCUCCGAAUUUUGGUUAAAUGUUGAGUCUCCCCUCUUAGUCCAUUGUCUUGUGGUGUCUUUCAAAUGGAUUUCCAGCCUUCUUAACAUCAAAAUAUCAUGAUAUUCAGGUCCCAAAGCAUCAUACAAACUCACACCACACGAAUUAGGAGACAAACACAACACACUACUCAUAACGAUGAAUCAAAACAAGAGCUAAGCUAGGCUAGUUCUCAUUGAUCUUUCACUUAUUGUUCCAGCUGUUCACUCAAUAAAAUUGAAAUUUUCUCACCACCAACAAUUUAUUCCACUCAUAAUUACACAUUAAAAUCAUUUGGAACACACUAAACACAAUAGAAUCCAACUGAAUCAACUAGACAAGCACCUAGCUCAAGCUAGUAACGCUAGUUUUCCGGGUUGAACUUCUAAAUGAAUAUUUUAGGUAAAAACUUGUUUGGAAUUUACUUUGACCAUUUUAAAAACAUGAUUUAACAUAUUGUUACACAUUCAUCUCAUUAUCAACCCAUAUAGCACACGAAUCAUCCUCAAAAGAAGGCUAAAAAGGCUAGAAUAGUGACACUAGAUUGCAUAAAUAUACCCAACAUCAAUUACCCAAAUAGGAACCAUCAGUAUUUGGUUUGAAAUGGUUAGCAUAAGGAGGUAGCCACUUAAGGUCGAUUGAGGUUUUUACGGUGAUAGGACCAGUGCUGCAAAGGUGGUGGUACUUAACUGCUUCAGUAUAAGAAAUGUUGAAGCAAGGUUCGGUAUGAGAGUUGUUAGUUAUUGGCAUUUUCAAUUUUCCAGAUAUGCCAAGGUCAGUAGGGGAGGAGCAUUUCCCAAGGUACAAAUCUAUCAAACCACUCUUUCUUGAGGAUCCCCCAGGUGCUUGUCCAGUUCAUUGUGUUGAACAUGGAGAGUUGAAGGUGGGUAUUUCCCUUAUAUUUUUUGGAUUAAUUCUAGCUAGAUUGGCUUUGUAAACCUAUAACCAAAGAAUAUAUGAUGUUGAUCUUUAGAAAUUUGGCCAACCCUAUUACAGAGGUUGGAGAUGUUGAUACCUCUUUGAGUAAGGGUGACCUUGGUAGGGAGAAUGUUAUAGUAUAAUAGCCAUAAGAAGGUUCUAAUUUUGUUGGGGACUUUCAAUCUCCAUAACUAAUUAGAGGAGGUAGGUUCCCUAAGGGUGGUGUUAGAGAGAUUUUUCAAGUGAUAGUAGGCACUCUUGCAAGAAAAGAUACCAUUACCCCUUAGUCUCCAAAGGGAGGUUACCUAUCUAAGGAGUCUGUUAGGCAGGAAUGAGUUUGGAUGCUAUAGGAGAUGUUAAGGGGAAUUUCAUAGGAAAAAUCCUAAAGUUCCAAGUCCCCUUUUUCCAAAUAUCCUUCACCAUAGAGGGAUCUUGAGGGUUCUGAUGGGGGCCAUGUAGGAUGUUGGCUAAGGGGGGCAUUCCAGGUAUCCACUUGUCCUUCCAGACAUUUACCUUGGUUCCAUCACUGAUUACCCAGAAGAUGGAAUCCUUACAGCUAUUCCAACCCCUAUGGAUGGCAUUCAAAGUAUAGUAGGUAGAAUUAUUCGAUAUACCCCCAGGCCCAUAUCUAGAAGCGGGUAUGGUGGACCACAAUAAGGAUGGAUUGGUGUACAUUCUCUAGGAAAGACUGCAUAAAAGAGAGUCAUUCUUGAUAUUUUUGUGAUGUAUGCCAAGUCAUUCCUCUCUCUUAGGCUUACUAACAGUGUUCCACUUAACCAAGUGAAUCUUCCUAUUUGUAUUAGUGGUUCCCCAGAUGAAAUUUCUCUGGGUUUUGUCAAUAAGGUGAUGGAUACUAUUGUGAAGGUGGAUGUACUGCAUGACAUGGUUUGGCAUGCUAGUAAUAAAAUAUUUGGCUAAAGUGAUCCAGCCAGCCAUGUUGAGGAAUUUUGUUUUCCAGCCAGCCAUGUUGAGGAAUUUUGUUUUCCAGCUAGCCAUCUUGUUGUUAAGGUUGUCAAGGAUAAAUUGGAAGUUCCCCCUCUCAGGUCUUUUGUGGAAAAUGGGAAAUCCCAGGUAUUUUCUAAAAGAGUUUGAGGGAUUGAUGCCUAGGGUAUAAAUGAGGAUAUUCUGGUCUUCUUUACCACAAUUCUUGGAGAAAAAGACUUUGGAUUUAGCAUUGUUAAUCUUUUGGCUAGAAUGGGAGAUAAAACUUUAGAGGAUCUUAUCAAUUGUUUGGCAGUUCUUAAGUUCAGCUUUUACAAAAAGGGUUAGGUCAUCAAAAAAGAAAAGAUGGAGAUAGAAGGGCCCCCUGGAUAUGGAGACAGGGGUCUAUUGAAGAAUGUACACUUCAGAGUUGAUUUUUCUAGAAAGAAGUUCCAUACAGAGUAUAAAGAGGUAGGGUGACAUGGGGUCACGCUGCCUGAUUCCCUUUGAAGGCAUGAAAAGAGGGAUUUCCCUCCAUUGACUAGGAUGAAAAUAUUUGAGGUGGAGAUACAGGAUAAGAUGAGUUUGGAGAGAUGCUGUGGAAAGUUAAAAAAAAAAAAAAGGGCAUGUAUGAUAAAAGACCACUCAAGUCUGUCAAAGGCUUUUUCUAAGUCAAUUUUAAGGAUAUUAGCUCUUUUUCCUUUUAGUUUUGAAAAAUGGCUAAUAUACUCCUGGACAAUAAUAGUGUUUUCAGAGGCCCUCCUUUUGGAGAGAAAAAUGGCUUGAGAUUUGCCAAUGAUAGCAGCAGAAUUUAACCAAAGGAAGUCCAAGAAUUUCCCAGUAUUUUUGGUACAUAAAAUAGUGCAUUCCAUCAGGCCUAGGGGCCUUAUUUGGUUUAAAGGAGAAAAUAGCUCUUUUAACCUCUUUUGGGCUAGGAAUCUGUGACACCCCGUAUUCAAGUACGUGUAUUGGCGUAUUUAAGUACGUGUAUUGGUCUUAUUUAUAUGGAAUUAAUUUUAUUUUAUUUUAUUUAUACCGGAAUUUGCCCGUCGAUGGUUCCAUACGAAGGUUAUUGAAUAAGAUUUCCAAUGAUAUAAAGAUUUCCAAAAACGGAUAGGAUUCAGAUAUAAUCGAUCGCGUUCAAAAUUAUAAAACGGUGGCCGGGAUAUUUAGGAAUAGUAAAUGUGCAGGAAAAUUUCCUACAUACAAACUAUUUUGGGUCAACUUCGAAUGAUCAUAACUCCCUUAAUAUAAUGAACUGGGAGAUCUUCGACCUAUGAAAAGAAAGAUCUUUGAGUCUUAUUUUCAAUGCAAUUGGUUUCAUCCAAAUACAACAUCUGAGUAAGGAGUUAUACUCGUUUUUACUUUAGCCUAUCAAAAUAGAUUUUUAGGGUCAACUUCAAAUAAUCAUAACUCCUUGUACAGGACAAACUGGGUGUCCUACUUUAUAUGAAAUGAAAGCCCUUUGAAUCAUCUUUCCAACGAUGCCAAUUUCACCCAAAUCCGAUAUCGGAGAAAAGAGUUAACGUUGAUCUACUUUAGCUUAUCAAAAUAGUCCACCAAAGAAAAGAUUUGGUAUUAUUUAAAUUUUAAAGGCAUUUUGGUUAUUUCCUACUAUAUUAUGAACGGGAAUAUGUGUAUAUAUACAUGUAUAUGAGUUCAAAAACUCAUUUUCAUCAUCAAUCAUUGAGAAAGAACAAACCCUAGCCAAAUUUGACCUUUAAAUUACUUUUGAUUCAACCGUAGAAAUUUCAAAGUAAUCUAAUAACUGCGUUUGUCAUCUCGAGAGCUUCGAACGGCACCUAUUAUUUGUGCAAACAGGAUUGCAUAAUCAAGAGGUUAAUUCUAAGGUAUGUAUAUUGUUUGCCUUGUUCUUUUCCAUAUGUAUAUGUGUGAUAAAGGAUUAUAUGUGUUGGUUGUUAUUGAAAGGUGAUGGAAAUAGGGUUAUGGACUAUUUUACAUGGUUUGGUUGUAUUGAAUUAUGGAAAUUGGAUAUGGUAAUUGGGUUAUGAAAGAUGGAUAUGGUAAUUGAGUUAUGGAAGGUGGAUAUGGUGAUAUACUAUUGAAUUGAUAAUUAUUUAUGUCUAUGGCUCAAUUUGGUUUAAUGGAUUGGUUGGAAGGAUAAAUGAAUCCAAACUUGAUAUUGGAGGAUGUUGUAUGAAUAUGCAUGGCAUGUGAAUGUAAUUGGAGUAUAAGAGGGUUAAAGUGACACCCUUUAUGGUGUAAUUAAGGCUUACUACUUAACCACUAGUUUGGUGAAUUCAAAUAAUUGAAUUGUGACGUUUGGUCGCUAAUACUAGAUUGCUAUAUAUGUUCAUUGUAGAUAAGUAAUCCGAAAAGACGAGAAGUCCAUUUGGGACUAGUAUUGAAGGUUGACAGUCAGGUAUGUAAAGCAUACUCUAUACCAUAUCUUUGGCAUGAAAGUGAACAAUUGUUCUAUUAAGAAAGUUUCCAAAGUUAUUCAAUAACAUGUGAUCCAUAAUGGUUUUGUAUGAUGUCCUACGUUACCAAUGAACUUGUUUCCACCCUACAAGAUGUCAAGACAUUCCAAUACUUACUUGUUUUCCAAAUCUUACAUGUUUAUUGAACUAAUGAAUGUCAAAAGGUAUCCGGUUACUCAAANNNNNNNNNNNNNNNNNNNNNNNNNNNNNNNNNNNNNNNNNNNNNNNNNNNNNNNNNNNNNNNNNNNNNNNNNNNNNNNNNNNNNNNNNNNNNNNNNNNNNNNNNNNNNNNNNNNNNNNNNNNNNNNNNNNNNNNNNNNNNNNNNNNNNNNNNNNNNNNNNNNNNNNNNNNNNNNNNNNNNNNNNNNNNNNNNNNNNNNNNNNNNNNNNNNNNNNNNNNNNNNNNNNNNNNNNNNNNNNNNNNNNNNNNNNNNNNNNNNNNNNNNNNNNNNNNNNNNNNNNNNNNNNNNNNNNNNNNNNNNNNNNNNNNNNNNNNNNNNNNNNNNNNNNNNNNNNNNNNNNNNNNNNNNNNNNNNNNNNNNNNNNNNNNNNNNNNNNNNNNNNNNNNNNNNNNNNNNNNNNNNNNNNNNNNNNNNNNNNNNNNNNNNNNNNNNNNNNNNNNNNNNNNNNNNNNNNNNNNNNNNNNNNNNNNNNNNNNNNNNNNNNNNNNNNNNNNNNNNNNNNNNNNNNNNNNNNNNNNNNNNNNNNNNNNNNNNNNNNNNNNNNNNNNNNNNNNNNNNNNNNNNNNNNNNNNNNNNNNNNNNNNNNNNNNNNNNNNNNNNNNNNNNNNNNNNNNNNNNNGGGGGACCUGCAUUUCAUACUGCAGGCACAGGUACCUCAGCUCAUACACCGCACAAGUAGGAGCUAGGAUAUCCAGCUGCUUUUGGUGAGCUCUAGUUUGCUUCGGGGCCUUCCGUGUCAUAUCCAGUCACUUUUGGUAUUGUAUAAAAGUUAGUUAUAUGGCGGGGUGUAUCCCGACCUUAGUUAAACUCUGUGUAUUGUCUAGAGGCUUUGUAGACCUAAUGUACAGUCAAGGUGGUGUUUUGUUAAUAGACGUGAUGGCUCCGAUGGCCAAGUAUUGUAUAUACAUAUAUAUAUGUGAUCGAGCUUAUACAGGUGAUUAUUUCCUUUUAUAUACGACAUGAUGCUGUCCGAAUUUUGGGUUGUCAUAGAGGUAUGCAUGGGAAGUAUAAGGUUAUGAGCUGGUUCUCCC